CUCUUUGUCCUGGGAAGAGUUUGCUGCAUCUUCCAGUUUCAGUAAUCAAAGAAGCAAAGUUCCCUGCAGUUCUUCAAGGAACCUUGAGAAUUCAGAAGGUCUUGGGGUGGCUGCAUCCGUCCUGAAGACAAAUGCCAAUCAGCAGAGGGGCCAUUCCCAGGGACACAGGGCUGGCUGACUUGGGCCUUGGCCAGGCUUUGGAUUCACCUUGAAAACAUCCUCUCUGAACAUCAGAAAUCCACUUGGUCCCUGAAUGGUGUAUUAACUUCUAACAUUUCUGACUUCCAGUCAUGGAGAUUUCAAAACCAAUUGCAUAUAGCAGCGAAGCUUUUCACUUUUAAUGGAACAUUUAGGAGAAGGGCAGCUUUUCCUAUUUUCUGUGUUAUCUUCAGCCUGUUAACUGUUAUCAGCCCUGGAGAGAAACCAUCCCUUCUCCUUAAAAACAUGAACCACAUACCAAGUUGCUUCUUGCCUCUUAAAGAUUCGGGUCACUCAGGUACAUCAUACUGAGACAGGACGCUCAGGUACAUCAUACUGAGACAGGACGCUCAGGUACAUCAUACUGAGACAGGACAUAUUGAUUGUUGGUGUGUAUUUCUCCCAAGCCACCACUCAAACCAGUGUUUGAUUUCCAUGGAGGUUGGCUGAUGGCUUUUAGCUUGAGCCCCAACAGUGUGACUUCAUACAAAGCAA
rnacentral:lncRNA from 1 species